rnacentral:rRNA from 1 species
CGGACGGGUGAGUAACACGUGGAUAACCUACCUAUAAGACUGGGAUAACUUCGGGAAACCGGAGCUAAUACCGGAUAAUAUAUUGAACCGCAUGGUUCAAUAGUGAAAGACGGUUUUGCUGUCACUUAUAGAUGGAUCCGCGCCGCAUUAGCUAGUUGGUAAGGUAACGGCUAACCAAGGCAACGAUGCGUAGCCGACCUGAGAGGGUGAUCGGCCACACUGGAACUGAGACACGGUCCAG